UACGGAGGGAGCUAGCGUUGUUCGGAAAUACUGGGCGUAAAGCGCACGUAGGCGGUCUAUUAAGUCAGGGGUGAAAUCCCAGAGCUCAACUCUGGAACUGCCCUUGAAACUGCUAGACUGGAAUCUUGGAGAGGUGAGUGGAAUUCCGAGUGUAGAGGUGAAAUUCGUAGAUAUUCGGAAGAACACCAGUGGCGAAGGCGACUCACUGGACAAGUAUUGACGCUGAGGUGCGAAAGCGUGGGGAGCAAAC
rnacentral:rRNA from 1 species